UACCACCCUGAACGCGCCGAUCUCGUC
rnacentral:piRNA from 1 species